UACGUAGGGGGCUAGCGUUGUCCGGAUUUAUUGGGCGUAAAGAGCGUGUAGGCGGCCAGGUAGGUCUGCUGUGAAAACUCGAGGCUCAACCUCGAGACGUCGGCGGAAACCAUCUGGCUAGAGUCCGGAAGAGGAGAGUGGAAUUCCUGGUGUAGCGGUGAAAUGCGCAGAUAUCAGGAAGAACACCGAUGGCGAAGGCAGGUCUCUGGGCCACUACUGACGCUGAGAAGCGAAAGCAUGGGGAGCGAACAGG
rnacentral:rRNA from 1 species